rnacentral:rRNA from 1 species
UGGCUCAGGAUGAACGCUAGCGGCAGGCUUAACACAUGCAAGUCGAGGGGCAGCGGGGAGGAAGCUUGCUUUCUCCGCCGGCGACCGGCGCACGGGUGAGUAACACGUAUGCAACCUGCCCCUGUCAGGGGGACAACCCGCCGAAAGGCGGGCUAAACCCGCGUACAUGCCACCGGGGCAUCCCGGAGGCAGGAAAGGCUUCGGCCGGACAGGGAUGGGCAUGCGGCGCAUUAGGCAGUAGGCGGGGUAACGGCCCACCUAACCGACGAUGCGUAGGGGUUCUGAGAGGAAGGUCCCCCACACUGGUACUGAGACACGGACCAGACUCCUACGGGAGGCAGCAGUGAGGAAUAUUGGUCAAUGGUCGGGAGACUGAACCAGCCAAGCCGCGUGAGGGAUGAAGGUACAGAGUAUCGUAAACCUCUUUUGUCAGGGAACAAAGGCGGGGACGUGUCCCCGGAUGAGCGUACCUGAAGAAAAAGCAUCGGCUAACUCCGUGCCAGCAGCCGCGGUAAUACGGAGGAUGCGAGCGUUAUCCGGAUUUAUUGGGUUUAAAGGGUGCGCAGGCGGUCUGUUAAGUCAGCGGUCAAAGCCCGGGGCUCAACCCCGGCCCGCCGUUGAAACUGGCAGUCUCGAGUUGGAGAGAAGUAUGCGGAAUGCGCGGUGUAGCGGUGAAAUGCAUAGAUAUCGCGCAGAACUCCGAUUGCGAAGGCAGCAUGCCGGCUCCACACUGACGCUGAGGCACGAAAGCGUGGGUAUCGAACAGGAUUAGAUACCCUGGUAGUCCACGCAGUAAACGAUGAAUGCUGGCUGUCCGGGGGGGACUGACCCCUGGGUGGCGAAGCGAAAGCGAUAAGCAUUCCACCUGGGGAGUACGCCGGCAACGGUGAAACUCAAAGGAAUUGACGGGGGGCCGCACAAGUGGAGGAACAUGUGGUUUAAUUUGAUGAUACGCGAGGAACCUUAGCCGGGCUCAAACGGGGAGUGACUCAGGCAGAGACGCCUGUUUUCCACGGGACACUCCCUGAGGUGCUGCAUGGUUGUCGUCAGCUCGUGCCGUGAGGUGUCGGCUUAAGUGCCAUAACGAGCGCAACCCCCGCGUGCAGUUGCUAACAGAUAACGCUGAGGACUCUGCACGGACUGCCGGCGCAAGCCGCGAGGAAGGCGGGGAUGACGUCAAAUCAGCACGGCCCUUACGUCCGGGGCGACACACGUGUUACAAUGGGUGGUACAGCGGGAAGCCAGGCGGCGACGCCGAGCGGAACCCGAAAUCCACUCUCAGUUCGGAUCGGAGUCUGCAACCCGACUCCGUGAAGCUGGAUUCGCUAGUAAUCGCGCAUCAGCCACGGCGCGGUGAAUACGUUCCCGGGCCUUGUACACACCGCCCGUCAAGCCAUGGAAGCCGGGAGUGCCUGAAGUGCGUGAGCGCAAGCAGCGCCCUAGGGUAAAACCGGUGUCGGGGAUAAGUCGUAACAAGGUA